rnacentral:rRNA from 1 species
GACGAACGCUGGCGGCGUGCUUAACACAUGCAAGUCGAACGGAAAGGCCCUGCUUUUGUGGGGUGCUCGAGUGGCGAACGGGUGAGUAACACGUGAGUAACCUGCCCUUGACUUUGGGAUAACUUCAGGAAACUGGGGCUAAUACCGGAUAGGAGCUCCUGCUGCAUGGUGGGGGUUGGAAAGUUUCGGCGGUUGGGGAUGGACUCGCGGCUUAUCAGCUUGUUGGUGGGGUAGUGGCUUACCAAGGCUUUGACGGGUAGCCGGCCUGAGAGGGUGACCGGCCACAGGGGGACUGAGAUACGGCACAGACUCCUACGGGGGGCAGCAGGGGGGAAUAUUGCACAAGGGGCGGAAGCCUGAUGCAGAAACGCCGCGUGGGGGAUGACGGCCUUGGGGUUGUAAACCGCUUUCGCCUGUGACGAAGCGUGAGUGACGGUAAUGGGUAAAGAAGCACCGGCUAACUACG